rnacentral:lncRNA from 1 species
CCACUUGUGGUCAGGUUUUGACCAAUACAGUUAGUUCCUCUGCACGUUGGGGUCGCCUAUUAGCAAGCUCGAUGGGCAGAUUCUUUAGAUUCAAAAAUUAGUAGAAACUUGGACGUUAUACGAGGAACGAGGUCCUUAUGGAAAGGUAGCGACGUGACACUUCAAGAGUUUCAUUGGAUAAUUACGUUGGUUUAGAAUUUGAUCGUCAUACCAAUUCAUGAUAUCAUGAAUG